AGAGUUAAAUAGUACGUGAAAUUGUUAUAAGGGAAACGAUUGAAAUCAGUGGUGCUGCUAUGAAAUCAGUCGGGGAGUGCUCAAAGCUUGUAGUGGAAGAGCUUAACGGCCUUUGCUGCUAGUAGAGGGUAUUAACUGAUGCACUUUUGUAGCCAGCUGGUCAACGUCAGUUUCGCUUGGUGGAAAAGACUCUUGAGAAGGUGGCUUGCCUUUCGGGGUGAGUGUUAUAGCUCAUGAGGGAUACAUUGAGUGGGACUGAGGGCUGCAGUACGACCUGCAAAGGAUGGCGUUCUCUGGACCGUUGGGCUUUUGUUGGGUAGACAGCUUGCUGACUAACUAUUAAGGGCUAAACAUGUUUCAGUCGUAACGACUUGCGUACUAAGGAUGUUGACAAAAUGGUUUUAAACGACC
rnacentral:ncRNA from 2 species